GAUGAACGCUGGCGGCGUGCCUAAUAUAUGCAAGUCGAGCGAACAGAUGAGGAGCUUGCUCCUCUGACGUUAGCGGCGGACGGGUGAGUAACACGUGGAUAACCUACCUAUAAGACUGGGAUAACUUCGGGAAACCGGAGCUAAUACCGGAUAAUAUAUUGAACCGCAUGGUUCAAUAGUGAAAGACGGUUUUGCUGUCACUUAUAGAUGGAUCCGCGCCGCAUUAGCUAGUUGGUAAGGUAACGGCUUACCAAGGCAACGAUGCGUAGCCGACCUGAGAGGGUGAUCGGCCACACUGGGACUGAGACACGGUCCAGACUCCUACGGGAGGCAGCAGUAGGGAAUCUUCCGCAAUGGGCGAAAGCCUGACGGAGCAACGCCGCGUGAGUGAUGAAGGUCUUCGGAUCGUAAAACUCUGUUAUUAGGGAAGAACAAAUGUGUAAGUAACUAUGCACGUCUUGACGGUACCUAAUCAGAAAGCCACGGCUAACUACGUG
rnacentral:rRNA from 1 species